CCACUACAUAUUUUGAUGGGAAUGACAAGUCCCAAGUCUAUGAUCUCCAACGAAGAGUGACUCGAUUGAGGCAGGUGAGCGGCUCCUUGGAGAUAUAUUACACUGAAUUGCAAGAGUUGUGUUACGAAAUUGACUUCCGUUGCCCAAAUCCGAUUAAGUGUCCCGCUAACAUCGACCAAUUCAACAACCUGAUCCAAGAAGAAUGAGUUUAUACCUUCCUUGAUAGACUCAAUGAUCGGCUAGAUAGCAUUCGAAGGGGAGUUAUACAGAUGAAGCAUUUCCCACUGUUGAACAAGCCUACGCCUACAUCCGACGAGAGGCUCUACAN
rnacentral:lncRNA from 1 species